UAGAAAUGUUAACCUACCUGGAGCUAAAAUGUUUUUAUUUUCAUAAGUGAGCAGAAAUCUAUAUUGUGAGGCUGAAGAAUGUUUGGUUCACUAACUAGUCAUUCAAAUACUAAAAUGAGCGUGGACAGAGGCCUUGCUAUUGAACUGGCUGAUUUAAGCCUGAAGAAGCCAGAUGAAUCUGCUUCACUGGGACAGAGUUACAUGGGGAAUGAGUCCAUGUGUCCUCGGUUAACCCUGAAAGAGAAACACAGGUUGAUUAAUCAUGAGGACUCUGACUUCUCUCUGCCCAGCGGUUUGUCAAUGAAAAGCGAGCAGUCAAUGCGUAAUCCUUUCAACUACAGCGGAGAAGCAAUCCCUACAGAACUAAAAAUGUUUUUUUUUUUUAUUCUGUGGAACACCAAAGAAGACAUUCUGAAGAAUGUUUAAACUGCAAGUCUUUUCAACACAACAAAAGCAGACAGAAACCAGCCCAGUCUCCUAAAAAAAAAAAAAAAAGGAGAAAACUUUUUAACAACUUGGUGAUUUUGUAUCAGUCUGUAUAACUUGAUUCAUAAAAAUAUGUAUUAUUUAAAAAAAUAAAUAAGUAAAUACAAUAAACAUGAAAAUCAACUUAUAAACCUAACACUCAGUAGUGGGGUAUAAGCAAAUCAUACCAAAAAAAAAAAAAAAAAUGUUUGAAUGAGUUCAUACAAUUUUGCUACCAAUUUAAAAAAAAAAAAAAAAAAUUGAGACCUUGUCAUAAAUGGAAAAUUGCACAACCCUGGUUUGAAUAUUGGGGUAACCUGGUUAUUUCUGCAUUUUUUCAAGUGCCGCUUACUGUAUGCUUAACAGCAUUUUUCAAAACCAUCUUGAGCCUAAGCUGACUGUAGAGACCAAUGGCUUGUUCCACUGGUUUCUACAGUGUACUUAGGCUUAAGGUACUUUAUUUUUAUUUAUUUUUUUAUCAUGAUUGCAUAUGCACUUUAUUCAGCCCACAACAUAUGCGCUUUGACAGAAACAUAUGAAUGUAUAUAUUUAUUUAUUUAUUUAUUUAUAGCUUGAACAAGCCAAAUAAUACUGCUUUACCAGGACCAAGUCAUGUGUCUCUGGGGAAUCCAUCUAUGUCUUCCCCGUUAUCCCUUCAGGAAGAAACCCCUGAACGCAAGUGAGCUCACAGACCUCUUAUAAACAUACCGAUUCUGCCUCAAACAAGUA
rnacentral:lncRNA from 1 species